rnacentral:lncRNA from 1 species
UUUUAUUUUCUCUUGCUGUUGCCAUGUAAGAAGUGCUUUUCGCCUCCUGCCGUGAUUCUGAGGCCUGCCCAGCCAUGUGGAACUCUGCCAAAUAUCCCACCAUAUGAACAGACUAAAAUCUGUCCCUCCAUUGAUGAAUGUUUGGAUUGCUGAACCCCUGGAAGAAAUUCAAUAAGAGCAAACAGAAGUGUAAUAUAUGACACCCUGGCAGAUCAAAGUGAGAGUUUUAUUAGAGGAGACAGUAAAGCUGGUGGAGCGGGGAGAGCUAAGUGAAUCAACAUGUUGCAGUCGGAGCCAGGACUCAUACCACCCCAAGAGGCAGGAG